CUAACAACUUGUUACUGAUGGCUCUGUCGCUGUCUGCCAGACACUGCCGUUCAAGCCCACUGCGGCUUUGGCAGGCCCGAUUCUUCCACUGUAUUUUCU
rnacentral:lncRNA from 1 species